UACAGAGGCCACGAGCGUUAGGCGGAAUCACUGGGCUUAAAGCGUGUGUAGGUGGAUGGGUAAGUACCUUGUGAAAUCCCACGGCUCAACCGUGGAAAUGCUUGGUAUACUGCCUGUCUUGAGGCACUCAGGGGCGAGCGGAACAGAUGGUGGAGCGGUGAAAUGCGUAGAUAUCAUCUGGAACGCCAAUGGUGAAGACAGCUCGCUGGGGGUGUACUGACACUGAGACACGAAAGCCAGGGGAGCAAACGGG
rnacentral:rRNA from 1 species